rnacentral:rRNA from 1 species
AUGGUUGUUUGAACCGCAUGGUUCAGACAUAAAAGGUGGCUUCGGCUACCACUUACAGAUGGACCCGCGGCGCAUUAGCUAGUUGGUGAGGUAACGGCUCACCAAGGCGACGAUGCGUAGCCGACCUGAGAGGGUGAUCGGCCACACUGGGACUGAGACACGGCCCAGACUCCUACGGGAGGCAGCAGUAGGGAAUCUUCCGCAAUGGACGAAAGUCUGACGGAGCAACGCCGCGUGAGUGAUGAAGGUUUUCGGAUCGUAAAGCUCUGUUGUUAGGGAAGAACAAGUGCCGUUCAAAUAGGGCGGCACCUUGACGGUACCUAACCAGAAAGCCACGGCUAACUACGUGCCAGCAGCCGCGGUAAUACGUAGGUGGCAAGCGUUGUCCGGAAUUAUUGGGCGUAAAGGGCUCGCAGGCGGUUUCUUAAUUCUGAUGUGAAAGCCCCCGGCUCAACCGGGGAGGGUCAUUGGAAACUGGGGAACUUGAGUGCAGAAGAGGAGAGUGGAAUUCCACGUGUAGCGGUGAAAUGCGUAGAGAUGUGGAGGAACACCAGUGGCGAAGGCGACUCUCUGGUCUGUAACUGACGCUGAGGAGCGAAAGCGUGGGGAGCGAACAGGAUUAGAUACCCUGGUAGUCCACCCGUAAACGAUGAGUGCUAAGUGUUAGGGGGUUUCCGCCCCUUAGUGCUGCAGCUAACGCAUUAAGCACUCCGCCUGGGGAGUACGGUCGCAAGACUGAAACUUCAAAGGAAUUGACGGGGGCCCGCACAAGCGGUGGAGCAUGUGGUUUAAUUCGAAGCAACGCGAAGAACCUUACCAGGUCUUGACAUCCUCUGACAAUCCUAGAGAUAGGACGUCCCCUUCGGGGGCAGAGUGACAGGUGGUGCAUGGUUGUCGUCAGCUCGUGUCGUGAGAUGUUGGGUUAAGUCCCGCAACGAGCGCAACCCUUGAUCUUAGUUGCCAGCAUUCAGUUGGGCACUCUAAGGUGACUGCCGGUGACAAACCGGAGGAAGGUGGGGAGGACGUCAAAUCAUCAUGCCCCUUAUGACCUGGGCUACACACGUGCUACAAUGGACAGAACAAAGGGCAGCGAAACCGCGAGGUUAAGCCAAUCCCACAAAUCUGUUCUCAGUUCGGAUCGCAGUCUGCAACUCGACUGCGUGAAGCUGGAAUCGCUAGUAAUCGCGGAUCAGCAUUCCGCGGUGAAUACGUUCCCGGCCCUUGUACACACCGCCCGUCUCUCCUCGAGAGUUUGUAUCACCCGAAGUCGGUGAUGUAA